ACUAAACUACACACCCAGUCAAUGCCUGCUCAAAUUUAAUCUCCCUAUGUUAAGUCUUGAAUCCAAGAUUUUCCCUGCUGUAGUACCAACUGUGCUCUUUUUCCAUUCCAGACAAGGACUCGAAGCCCUGGUGUGAAUAGUGCGUCUAGCACACCUGACCUAUAGGAAGAGUUCCCUACUGGAAGAAACGAACACACACAAGAUAGAAAGUCUACCAGGAAAGAAUGAGAAAGAAAACGGACAAAGACAUCAUUACCUACCGCCACCUCCUAUUUCUCAUUAUACGAGAAAGCCCAUGACAAUGGUGGGCCAGAGAAGAGUAUGCACUAGAAGGAUACAAAUUCCUUGCUGCGUCAUCUUC
rnacentral:lncRNA from 1 species